AGCAUCCGUAGCCGGCCGUCUAAGUUUUCGGUUAAAUCUAUGCGCUUAACGUAUAGGCCGCCGAAAAUACUGGACAGCUAGGGAGUGGGAGAGGUACACGGUACUCAAUAGGAAGGGGUAAAAUCCUUUGAUCUAUUGAUGACCACCUGUGGCGAAGGCGGUGUACCAGAACACGUUCGACGGUGAGGGAUGAAAGCUGGGGGAGCAAACCGGAUUAGAUACCCGGGUAGUCCCAGCUGUAAACGAUGCAGACUCGGUGAUGCAUUGGCUUGUGGCCAAUGCAGUGCCGCAGGGAAGCCGUUAAGUCUGCCGCCUGGGAAGUACGUACGCAAGUAUGAAACUUAAAGGAAUUGGCGGGGGAGCACCACAAGGGGUGAAGCCUGCGGUUCAAUUGGAGUCAACGCCAGAAACCUUACCCGGGGCGACAGCAGAAUGAAGGUCAAGCUGAAGACUUUACCAGACAAGCUGAGAGGUGGUGCAUGGCCGUCGCCAGCUCGUGCCGUGAGAUGUCCUGUUAAGUCAGGUAACGAGCGAGACCCCUGCGUCUAGUUGCUACCAUUACUCUCUGGAGUAGUGGAGCGAAUUAGACGGACCGCCACAGUUAAUGUGGAGGAAGGAAGGGGCCACGGCAGGUCAGUAUGCCCCGAAACCCUGGGGCCACACGCGGGCUGCAAUGGUAUUGACAAUGUGUUCCGAAUCCGAAAGGAGGAGGCAAUCAUCAAACGAUACCUCAGUUAUGACUGAGGGCUGUACUCGCCCUCACGAAUAUGGAAUCCCUAGUAACUGCGCGUCACUACCG
rnacentral:rRNA from 1 species